GAGAACUUCGGGAACUAUUCCAGCCUUGCCCAGUGUGGAACAAGCCCUCUGAAUAAACCGAAGCAAGUUCACGUCCAUGCAGCUGCUUCUUGUCCCACCUUUUUGUUUGGGGCACAAACCACUGCCUUCCACACCCACCUUUUCCUUUCCUUUGGAAAAAUGCAAGCCUUGCAUGCACAGUUCCAAGUGGGUAUGAGCCCAACCUUUAUGCUAAAACUACAUAAUCCUAAGCCAUGUGAUUCUUGUAAAAGGAAGUGUGUCAGGUGUAGCUCAUGGAGCGGUUGAGAGGUAAUAACUGCUUAGGGUCCACUGUCCCUGCACCAGUUGACCCCAAAUCUCCCCUUGUUCUCUUUGCAUCCACUGUGAUAUCCUCGAAUCUCUGCAUACCUAGUGGCUGCUGUGGUGAAGGGUAAGGCCAAUUCAUGUCUUCACCUCUUUGCCUUGUCUGACUAGGUGGUGCUUUUACCGUGGGAAUACUAAAGGUGGGUUUACUUCUGGACCACAGUCUUUGUGCAUGUGGCCUCACUCCCUACUCAUAACCCAUUAUAAGGGAAAUUUUGUUGCAGUUUUCUAAGCACCAUUCACCACAUUUUUUUCUUGGAAGGCUAAUAAGCCUUGUAAUAGGCAAGAAGCCACCUAUAGGUCUUCACAGAAGCCCCAGAUCUGAGGGCAGAACUUUGCCUUCCUGGCAGUUCUGUAGUUGUCCCAGUGGGUUUGGGUGACCCUUGCUUCCUGUCCUUAAAUCCUGACAGCUGGAGGGAAUUAGGAACCUGUUCUUAUUUUGGCAGCUGGAGUUUUAAUUGAAGUGUUCUGCUCAAGGCAGUCCCAAUAAUUGCUUGUUCACAGAGAGCCUGAUCUGUAUCUUCAUUACCGUCAUAGGGUCUCCAAUUUUAAUAAGUAAGCCUUUUCUUUUUCCUUUCUGGCUCACAGAUGAUUUAGCAAUUUUGCCUGUGUCACUCUACCUUUGAUAACACUUGCAAAUGUCUGCUCAAGAGUCCUCAAACAUUAGGCAUUCUUACCGAAGUGACUUAAGAUAUCUGUGACCUCCAAGGUCAAGCUUCUGAGGCUCUCCGUUAAUGUUCUUCACUUUCCUAAAUGAGAUAAUGCUUGUAAACUGCUUCGUACAAUGCCUGACACUGAGUCAGUAAUGGGCAAAUGUGAGUUAUUAUCAUGGUUGUAUGUGGUGCUGUUAUUUCGCUUCAGGUGCCUGCCAUUUUUGCAGUGUCUAAGUGGUUGAAUGUUUGCAGUGUCUAGGAGUUGAUUUUUUUUUUCCCUCCAGUAAUACUCCUAAGGAACACACCUCCUUUUGUCCCCACCCCCCAUGGAUUCCACCACCGUCUGUCCCAGAACAUGAGCUUAUGUGCAUAUGGUGGCUGGUGGCCUGCUUAGGUUAAAUCCAUUGAGUGAUCUUUUAUCCAAGGACUCUGGUCAUGUCUGACAUUCAUUGCCUGUCUUAAUCCAGGAAGAGAUUCAGUCUCUACAGAAAUUCAGUAUUCAAGGUAAAGAAGACAGGGCUGAAAGAUGCCUUUGCCAUACGUAUCUCUCCCAGGGAUGCAAAAUAAUUAAGCUCUAGUCAGGCCGCAUCUGGUUUCUCUUCCUUCUUUAAAAAACUUGCCAAGCACUUCAUCCCUUUCCAGGAGCCUUAAAGAAGACUGUCAGGUGUUUUUAAUUUCGUUUUCUUCACUACCCACUGGCAUUCAUAAAGCAACAGGAUCCACACCUAUUUAGGUCUCCUGCAAGAGCUCUACCUUUUCCAAAUGCCGAUUCACUCUAAUUCUUACAAGGAAUAAUUAGUCAUUGUUAUAUAUAUGUGUAUAACAUUAUAGGAGUUAUACAGAUCCUGGAAGGAACCCUAAAAUGUAACAACAUUCAGACUUUGUCAACCUGUGAGGCUCGAUGGGCAUUUAUACACAAAUUGCAGUGAGUCAGAGCAACUUCUUCCUCCUCAAGCCCCACCAACCCCAGACUGAUGGCCCUAACUCCAGUCUUUCCUCGGUGCCAGUCUUCAAGAGUUUCCAUUAAUUCCUGUGAGCAUUUGUACGCAUCCUCCCUGACUUGCUAAUGAAGCUGGUCCUCGCCUGUGCCACCUGGAUAAUGAGAGCUUGGAGAGAGAGAGAAUUUCCCUCCCUUGCCUGCUUAUUCAAGGCUCCAGGUGUGAUGAUCCACCUUAUUCUCCUUGUCUCCUCAUCUUGUGUCUCAUUUUGAGGGUUCUGUGACAGCUCAGUAAUCUGCUUUGAAGUAGGAAGGAGAAGAUGCCCUCCGCCAGCCUCCCAGGGUCAUACUCCAUGAAGGAUGCCUACCACUGAGCUGCCUGGGCCUUGAAAUGUUAUUGCCCUUUGAUUGUGCUGCUCUCCAAACCCUCUUACACACACGCCACAAACACUUGAGGUUCUGUCACAAAGCAAAAGUGACUAGACUGAGAUGGGGCAAUGGCCUUCCCAAACACCUAUCUUUUUAUUAUAAAGCUUCAGCAGGGAGUUCCCAUCCUAGCUCAGCAGUAACGAGCCUGAGUUGUAUCUGUGAGGACAUGGGUUUAAUCCCUGGGCUUGCUCACUGGGUUAAGGAUCUAGUGUUGCCAUGAGCUGUGGUGUAGGUUGCAGAUGCUGCUUGGGUCCCGUGUUGCUGUAGUGUAGGCUGGCAGCUGCAGCUCUGAAUCAACCCCUAGCCCAGGAACUUCCAUAUGCCAGGGUGCAGCCCUAAAAAGACAAAAAAAAAAAAAGCCUCAGCAUUAUUCAACAACUCUCAUUAGAAUAUAAUUUAAGAAAAUCUCCCCCCCCAAAAAAGUCUAUUGCUCAUUCCCCAGUAAGCUAAGGUUUGUCAUGCUUAAGAAGUAGCUUAACAAGGAUGUGCAUUUUGCAAAUACAAAUGGACACAAACUCACAGACAUUCCUCUAUAGACCUCUGAGUUCCUAAUGUUUUCUAAAUUGAUAAAUUACCUAAUUUUCCUAAGGGAAGACCCAUAACCUCAAUUAUAGCUUCUCCUCAAUAAAAUAUCUUUUAAAAUAUCACAUAAUAUCACUUAACAUGGAAUUGGAAAAAACUGAUACAAAUGAACUUAUUUACAAAAAAGAAAUAGGCUCACAGACAUAGAAAACAAACUUGCAGUUAUCAAGGGGGAAAAGGUAGGGGGACAGAUAAAUUGGGAUUAGCAGAUACACACAUAUAUAAAACAGAUAAACAACUAGAAUCUACUCUAUAGCAGAGGAAGUAUAUCCAACAUGUGUAAAAACCUAUAAUGGAAAAGAAUCUGAAAAGUUUUGUAUAUAUAUAAAAUUGUGUAUAUAUAAAACUGUACAUACAUAAAACUGAAUCACUUUGCUGUACACCUGAAACUAACACAACUUUGUACGUCAGCUACAUUGCAAUUAAAAAAAAAAAUAGAAUGUCACCUGCCUUUUCAUUUUUGCUUUUUCUUUUCUUUUUUUGUUUGGGGUUUUUUUAUUUUUGUCUUUUUGCCUUUUCUAGGGCCGCUCCUGCAACAUAUGGAGAUUCCCAGGCUAGGGGUCUAAUCAGAGCUGUAGCCACCAGCCUACACCAGAGCCACAGCAAUGUGGGAUCCAAGCCACAUCUGCCACCUACACCACAGCUCACGGCAAUGCCAGAUCCUUAACCCACUGAGCAAGGCCUGGAAUUGAACCCGCAACCUCAUGGUUCCUAGUCAGAUUCGUUAACCACUGAGCUACGACGGGAAUUCCUUUUUCUUCCUUUUCUAGGACGAUGCCUGUCUUCAGGAAGGAGUGGCAGGGAGUCCUAGGGAUCUGGUCACUCAGAGCCAUCAAACAGGCCCUGACUGUCCAACAGGCCACAUGUUUCCCUUUUACAACCUUUUUUCCCAUUUGUGAAGCCUCUGACAUCACAACACAUACUUUCCUGCCUUAAAGUCCCCUAAGUAGUAAAUUGUGAAUUAGUUGUAACCUGAGCCUGCGAGGAAAGAAAUAGUUUGGCAUAUAGAAUACUCACUCUAGUUCUGGAUUUUGUUUUUUGUUCUGUUUUGUUUUUUGGCUGCCCAUGGCAUAUGAGGUCCCCGGCCAGGGAUCAGAUCUGAGCUGCAGUUGCAACCUAUGCCGCAGUUGUGGCAAUGCUGGAUCCUUAACCCAUUGUGCCAGCCAGCAUCCGACCUACAUCCCAGUACGUCAGAGAUGCCACCCAUCUGGCUUCGCCACAGCAGGAACUCCCUAAGUCCUGGUUUUGAUUGGCUGUCUACUAUCACUUGAGGUUUUCAGGGAAGAUUGAUGUCCAGGAGACAGGCCAAGCCAUGCAGUCCUGUAUUCCUAGCAGGUUUGGACUUCAAACCCCAGAAUAGUUCUUUGGUGAGGUCUAUAUUUUGCCUUCUUUCUGAAGGGCUGGAGUUUGUUACAUAAAACUCUAAUGUUUAUGUAAUCAAAUGUGUCAAUCUUUUCCGUAUAACUUCUGGGUUUUGUGUUAUCCUUUUUAAAGUCUUGCCCAUUCUAGAAUCAAAAAAAUAUGCAUCUAUGUCUUCUUAUAGGACGUCUGUGAUUUCAUGCUUUACAUGCAAAUCUCUGAUCCAUCUGGAACUUCUUUUGGUAUAAGAAGUAAGAUAAGGGCCUACUUUUACUUGUUUCUCAUCCCAAAUGGCAAAGCAGUAAACUCAAUUACCAUUUAUUGAAUAAUCUACCUUUUAAAAAAGUCCUUUAAAUAGCAACUUUCUCCAUAGAGAUUUUAAUAUGAUUCACUCUAUACAAGCUCUAUGUAUGCAUUUAUAAAAGUUCUAUUUGAACAUGAUGCCAGAAACAGCUAUAGGAUGGUGGGCAGUUGUUAAAAUGCCCCCUCCUCAGGUCUGCUUCCCUACCAUAAAAAAAUUAAGGCAGCACUGUGUACCUUGCCGUGUUCUUGUGGGGAUUUUAAGAAUAAAGUAUGUAGAUACCUCUACCUCAAUUAUUGUGUUUCUUUCUGUUCAAUUUUCUGCAGUAAAGCAAUGUGGGCCCUCAUAUCAAGGAUCCCAUUUGGGUAUAAGACUCAGUUUCUCUAUUUACAUCCUGAGCAUAUAGAGAUGGCAAAGGAGGCCAUAGCUUUUUCAACAGUAACAUCUAACUGUUUCCCUCUCUGGUCAGUGCCUAAAGAGGUACUUUAUUUAGUCCUUUGAGGUGCCAAACUUUGCCUUUUUGUUUCCCCAAAUAUUUCAGCAGGGCAUGUGGUGCUACAUAGAUCUGAGUUUGAAUUCCAGUUCUGCCGCUUACCAGAUAAGUGGCCCUUCUUGAGGAAUAAUAUAAAGGGGAGAGGAGUAGCCCUCUUGUCAUGGGGUCAUGGUGGAAUAAAUAAGAAUCCUUGUGGAAUGCACCUUCCAUGGGGAGAAGAUCUUUGUCUUAUGAAUCACGAGUAUUAGAAUGCCUUGUUAUGCCCAGUGUUAGAAUGGUGCCUGAUGUGCCGUUGCCACUUAUUAAAGCAGUAUGGAAGGAAGGAAUUAGAGCACGUAGCAAGGUGCCAAAGUAAAUUAGCUAUAAGUGGAGGUCAGAGGGAACAGAAAUGUGGUCUUGCCUUCAGGGGUUAGAAUCUGGAUCUGAAAACUAAGGUGUGUAGCCCUUACACAUGAGGCAUAAUGAAAUGCGUGGUAUCAUAUGAGCACAAAGUACUUUGGAGACAAGUGGGAAGUAAUGCAUUUCAACUGGAGAAUUAGGGAAAUAUUUAAUGGAAAAGGGCGAGGCUUUAAUUGGACCUUAAAAGAGCAUAGUGUGUGUGUGUGUGUGUGUGUGUGUGUGUGUGUGUGUGUGUGUUUGAGAGACAUGAUUUUCCAGGCUGGAGGAAGGAAUACAAAAUGGGAGAAGUGUUUGGCAUAUGCUAGGAUCAGAGCUUAGUGUGAAUUAUGAAAGUGCAUGUCAGGUAGGAGAAAGAGUGUCUGGCAGGUCAAUCAUGGUGGCCUGAAGUGUCCUGCAAUGGGGUUUAAGACAGUGCACAAACCUGAAGGCUUUUGAGUUGCUGAGUCCUAGGGAGAGGCUCAUGUUAUUAUUAUGUUUUCAUUAUCUGUAUUCAUUAUUCAGAAAUCAGGGCAAAGGAUGAAUUAGAAGGGAUAAGAAUUUAAUAGCUGUUAUAGCAGCUCAGGAGAGAAGUCCUGACAGUCUAAACUCAGAGUUUCCCAGGAAGCAGAAAGGAGGAAGAGACAAAAAGGGAGAGGAGUUUAGGAGUUCCUGUUGUGGCUCAGUGGGGUAUGGACCCCAUGUUGUCUCUGUGAGGAUGCGGGUUCCAUCUCUGGCCUCCCUCACUGGGUUAAGGAUCCAGCAUUGUGACAAUCUGUGGUGUAGGCUGCAGUGGCAGCUCUGAUUGAACCCUGGCCUGGGAACUUCCACAUGCUGCAAGUGUGGUC
rnacentral:lncRNA from 1 species